UGCGUGUGAACACAGCCAACGGGUCAUUAGACGAAACCAUUGUUUUUCCUAUCCUUGGUCUCGUGCUUGACUCAGAUAAGACAGCGAUAGCUUUUCCUGGUACUGCAUACCUUAACGUAUGGGAAAGGGACAAGUAGAAGAACUUUCCAAAUGUGGCCUCUGAAGGUGCCAAGGAGUUUGUCUUGCUUUUUCUUCAUUUGCUGCCAACAGGGGUAAAGGGACAAGUAGAAGAACUUCCCAAACGUGGUCUCUGAAGAUGCCAAGUAGUGCUUUUUUCUCCAGGUACUGCCAAAAGGGGUAAAGGGACAAGUAGAAGGACUUCCCAAACGUGCUCUCUGAAGAUGCCAAGGAUUUUGCCUUGCUCUGUUUUCUCCAGUUGCCGCCAAAAGGUAGAUCUGGGAAGACGGGAGCACCUGCCACUUUCGGACUUGGAAAAUGGCAAGAGGAUUCUCUCAUUUCAUCAUUUCCACUUAGUGGGCCUGUGCAGACUGCGCUCAUGCCGAAUUUUGCCCUGAAAGAAUGCCAGAGCUUCUUCGUUUUCGCAAAAAAAAAUCACAAUAACAAUGAGCUCAGUUGAAGCACAAAUAUUGUCCAGAAGAUCGAAUUCAUUUUACGAGGAGUUAGGUCCUCAUGGCAUACCGAUCGCCAGCUGAUUAUUUCUUGGUGAUUAUGUCUCUGAUGAUGAUGCUUGAUUCCUUUCAAGUGCCUACUGAACCUUUAAUAAAAUAUUUUUGCAAAUUUGU